rnacentral:rRNA from 1 species
UUCAGUUGGCGUAUGCCGAUUGAACCAAAGGCGGGGAUCUGCCGCAAGGCGGACCUGUCACUUGUUGAGGAGCCCGCGUCCUAUUAGCUUGUUGGCGAGGUAACGGCUCACCAAGGCUAUGACGGGUAGCUGGUCUGAGAGGAUGGUCAGCCACACUGGGACUGAGACACUGCCUAGACUCCUACGGGAGGCUGCAGUUGAGGAUCUUUUGCAAUGCGCGUAAGCGUGAUAAUGCGACGCCGCGUGGAGGAUGAAGGCCUUCGGGUUGUAAACUCCUGUCGUCCGGGAGCAAAGGCGCGGGGACUAAUAGUCUCCGCGCGUGAGAGUAUUGGAAAAGGAAGUCACGGCUAACUCUGUGCCAGUAGUUGUGGUAAUUCAGAGGUGGCAAAUGUUGUUCGGAUUUACUGGGUGUAAAGGGUGCGUAGGUGGUUCCGCAUGUCGGAUGUGAAAGUUCACCGUUUAACGGUGAAACGGCAUUCGAAACUGCGGGACUAGAGUACCGGAGAGGAGAGCGGAAUUCUCGGUGUAGCGGUGAAAUGUGCAGAUAUCGAGAGGAACACUGGUGGUGAAGGUGGCUCUCUGGACGGAUACUGACACUGAGGCACGAAAGCUGGGGGAGUAAACAGGAUUAGAUAUCCUGGUAGUCCCAGCCGUAAACGGUGUACACUUGGUGUGGGGGGAAUUGAUUCCCCCCGUGCUGGAGCUAAUGCGUUAAGUGUAUCGCCUGGGGAGUAUGGUCGUAAGGCUAAAACUCAAAGAAAUUGACGGGGGCCCGCAUAAGCGGAGGAGCAUGUGGCUUAAUUCGAUGUAAUGUGAAGAAUUUUACCAGGGCUUGACAUGCAGCUGCAAGUCCCGUGAAAGCGGGAUUCCUUCGAGGGUGCUGCACAGGUGUUGCAUGGCUGUCGUCAGUUCGUGCCGUGAGGUGUUGGGUUAAGUCCCACAACGAACGCAACCCCUGUGUCUAGUUGUUAUUGCGGUGAUGAAUCGCGAGCACUCUAGACAGACCGCCUGUGAUAAGCAGGAGGAAGGUGGGGAUGACGUCAAGUCAGUAUGGCCUUUAUGUCCUGGGCUGCACACGUGCUACAAUGGCCGGUAUAGAAGGAUGCAAGACCGCAAGGUGGAGCAAAUUUCCAAAACCGGCCCCAGUUCAGAUUGAGGUCUGCAAUUCGACUUUAUGAAGCCGGAUUUGCUAGUAAUGGCGCAUUAGUUAUGGCGCCGUGAAUACGUUCCCGGGCCUUGUACACACCGCCCGUCACGUCAUGAAAGCCAUCUGUAAUCGAAGUCGCUGUAUUAAUCCUGUUUAUGUGGGAAGGAAGGCGCCGAAUGUAUGGGUGGUGAUUGGGACGAAGUCGUAACAA